CCUACGGGAUGCAGCAGUGAGGAAUAUUGGUCAAUGGGCGCGAGCCUGAACCAGCCAAGUAGCGUGAAGGAUGACUGCCCUACGGGUUGUAAACUUCUUUUAUAAAGGAAUAAAGUGAGGCACGUGUGCCUCUUUGUAUGUACCUUAUGAAUAAGCAUCGGCUAACUCCGUGCCAUCAGCCGCGGUAAUACGGAGGAUCCGAGCGUUAUCCGGAUUUAUUGGGUUUAAAGGGAGCGGAGAUGGGUGGUGAAAUCAGUUGUGAAAGUUUGCGGCUCAACCGUAACAUUGCAGUUGAUACUGGCAGCAUUGAGUACAUUUGAAGUAGGCGGAAUUCGUGGUGUAGCGGUGAAAUGCAUAGAUAUCACGAAGAACUCCGAUUGCGAAGGCAGCUUACUAAACUGCAACUGACAUUGAUGCUCGAAAGUGUGGGUAUCAAACAGGAUUAGAUACCCGAGUAGUC
rnacentral:rRNA from 1 species